rnacentral:rRNA from 1 species
GGGUCAGUAGGUUGGUCGUGCCACCGGUACGUACUGGUCUCACUGAUUCCUCCUUCCUGAAGAACCGUAAUGCCAUUAAUUUGGUGUUGCGGGGAAACAGGACUGUUACUUUGAAAAAAUUAGAGUGUUUAAAGCAAGCUAACGCUUGAAUACAUUAGCAUGGAAUAAGGAAAUAGGACGAUCGAUCCUAUUUUGUUGGCUUCUAGGAUUGACGUA